rnacentral:rRNA from 1 species
AUUGAACGCUGGCGGCAUGCUUUACACAUGCAAGUCGAACGGUAACAGGCCUUCGGGUGCUGACGAGUGGCGAACGGGUGAGUAAUGCAUCGGAACGUGCCCAGAGGUGGGGGAUAACGCAGCGAAAGCUGUGCUAAUACCGCAUGUGAUCUGAGGAUGAAAGCGGGGGACCAGGCAGCAAUGUUUGGCCUCGCGCCUUUGGAGCGGCCGAUGUCAGAUUAGGUAGUUGGUGGGGUAAAGGCCUACCAAGCCGACGAUCUGUAGCUGGUCUGAGAGGACGACCAGCCACACUGGGACUGAGACACGGCCCAGACUCCUACGGGGGGCAGCAGUGGGGAAUUUUGGACAAUGGGCGCAAGCCUGAUCCAGCAAUGCCGCGUGCGGGAAGAAGGCCUUCGGGUUGUAAACCGCUUUUGUACGGAACGAAAAGGCUCUGGCUAAUACCUGGGGCUGAUGACGGUACCGUAAGAAUAAGCACCGGCUGACUACGUG